rnacentral:miRNA from 1 species
GCCUCUUCCUCUCGGUCCCAUAUUGAACUCGAGUUGGAAGAGGCGAGCCCGGUCUCAAA